GGCCCGUUCGUCUAACGGUUAGGAUGACACGCUUUCAAUGUGUCGACAGGAGUUCGACUCUCCUACGGGCUA
rnacentral:tRNA from 1 species